rnacentral:rRNA from 1 species
AACGAACGCCGGCGGCAUGCCUAACACAUGCAAGUCGAACGAAGGCUUCGGCCUUAGUGGCGCACGGGUGCGUAACGCGUGGGAAUCUGCCCUUAGGUACGGGAUAACAGCGGGAAACUGCUGCUAAUACCGUAUGAUGUUUAGCGACCAAAGAUUUAUCGCCUAGGGAUGAGCCCGCGUAGGAUUAGCUAGUUGGUGGGGUAAAGGCCUACCAAGGCGACGAUCCUUAGCUGGUCUGAGAGGAUGAUCAGCCACACUGGGACUGAGACACGGCCCAGACUCCUACGGGAGGCAGCAGUGGGGAAUAUUGGACAAUGGGCGAAAGCCUGAUCCAGCAAUGCCGCGUGAGUGAUGAAGGCCUUAGGGUUGUAAAGCUCUUUUACCCGGGAAGAUAAUGACUGUACCGGGAGAAUAAGCCCCGGCUAACUCCGUGCCAGCCGCCGCCGUAA